rnacentral:rRNA from 1 species
GCUCCUACUGAUUGGAUGCUCCGGUGAAACGUCGGGAGAAUGCACCUGCGAUCAGCAAUGGUCCAGGUGCGUUUGAACUUCCUUAAAUUUGGGUUUCUAGAAGAAGGAGAAGUCGUAACAAGGUUUCC